UGGUAAUUUGUCCUUGAUUUUUGUGCUUCUACCAUGGAAAACUGGACAAAAAGACUGAAAGAAAACAGCUGGGACAAACCAGUAAAAAAGGCAAGCCAGCAUGCUGACAAUUAUAAAAAGAUAAGUAAUGAUAAUGUAUUGCAUUGUCGAGGGCUGUGGAUGUGACUGUAACUUUAAUAUUACUUUAAGUCUACUAUCGUUUGUAUGUGUAGGCUAGGAGUAGUGAGUGAAUGAUUAAUAUAAAGACGACCAAAAUAAAAUUAAAAUACCAGUCAUGCACAAAAAAUGGCAAAGAAGAUGUGUGAAUUUUUGCUAUCCAGUGUAAUAGCAAAAACCACUUGCUGUAGCUGUAGCUGUAGCAUAUGGACAGACUGAGCUAUAUGAGCUAGGGGAACAGGGGCUAGCUAGCAGAGGGGGCAGGACUUUCAUUCUCUAUAAACACUGCAGAUGACAAUAUUUGCUGCUUAUAUGAAAACACAGUGUUAGCUUACUGUGUAAUUAAUUGCUUUCUUGGUGCACACUGCUUUUUUCAGUUUAUUUUUGAAAGCUGCUGACCGUCAGCAGGCUGAUCACUUGACACAGGCCAGGAGAUCAUUACAGACAGGAAUGAGGAAAAUGUCUGAAAAAAAUAGAACAAAGGCAGGAGGAGUUAAAAGUUGGACAACGAGAUCUGGAUCCAUAUAUCACCUUUGAUCCAAGCUGCUAAGCAAAGCCAGAGCUGGACAGAAAGCAAAAGAAUAUCUACUGGAGAACCUCAACAAUCUUACCAAAUGGAAAAUCCAAAAGGGUGAGAGUGAGUCUGAGAGGUUUUCAGCAUUCAUAACAGACCUCUGAUCUGUUGUUGCGUAUCUAAGGUCAAAUCAUUAAAGAGAUGAUCUUCAAACUACAGUAGCUAUUUCAGUCUGUUUAAACUAUGACCUUGCAGAGCAUCUGUGCCUUUUAUUUUCUAAUCUGUACAGCUCUGUGUGCUAGUACCAACAUAUACUGGGGCCCCAAGAUGUGAUCUCAGUGGAAAGUGUGGGACUCUGUCAAUACAGAGCUUUAUAACAGACCAGUAGUGGAAUAUGUGAAUGACUAUUGUUCAAAAACCUCCUAAACCCCAAAACUCACCACUGAAAUAGCUCUGGUAUGACCACAUUCUUCAACUUAUAACUAAAGACAGACAUACAUCUUUCUGCUUUUCUUUUCUUACUUAGAGUAUCUCUCUUGGGAUUACUGAAACACACAUUUUCAAGAACACCUUACAUACCCAGAUAAAAUAUAUAGACACACACUGUACAUGUACAUACUUUUGUGCAUCAGGCAGCUUUGAGUCUCCCAAACACCAAAGAUCAAUUAUUACAAAGCGGAGGCAGAGAUAUAGAUGCUAUUGUCACGUAGGUGACUGGUGGAUAAUUCUAUCAGGCGACAACACAAAUACAGAAGUGGGGGCUCUUAUUGAAAGGAACCAAUAAUUAAAAAGAAGAGAUUCUCCAUUUUGAGUUUUGACAGGAUUUCUGCAGGGGAAGAGCUGAUAGAAGCGGUGCUCUGUCAGAGCUAAAUGGAGACAAACCGAAUAUUCAAAAGAUUUGAUUUGGUCUGAUCUGCAUUAUGGCUUUUGUGCAUUUCAUUUCCCAAGCGACAAAAGCUCUUUGCAUAGUCCGUUACAAUGUUCUGCAUAAAGAGCUUCCCACGUCCAGAUGAUACACACUGUCAAAAGGUGCAAGACACACAGGUACAACAGUUUCCUUUGAGACUUUCUUACUGUUAUCCCUUACUUAUAUAGUAUAAUAUAUUAAUAUAAUAUAAUAUAAAUAAAAUUACCUUGAGCUGUGUUUUAUUUAAAAGCUGGAUUUUGAGAUAAUACAACUUGUGUAUUGUGUACGUGUGUAUUGUAUAUUGUUAUUUUCUUCAGGAAUCUCUAUGUACGACUGACAUUUAAAUAAUGUCCUUUUGGAAUAAAUUUUUUAUUUAGAAAUCA